UACGUAGGCAGCAAGCGUUGUUCGGAGUUACUGGGCGUAAAGGGUGCGUAGGCGGCUUCUUAAGUCUGGUGUGAAAUUUCCCGGCUCAACUGGGAGGGUGCGCCGGAUACUGAGGGGCUAGAGUGUGGGAGAGGAAAGUGGAAUUCCUGGUGUAGCGGUGAAAUGCGUAGAUAUCAGGAGGAACACCGGUGGUGUAAACGGCUUUCUGGACCAUAACUGACGCUGAGGCACGAAAGCGUGGGUAGCAAACAGG
rnacentral:rRNA from 1 species